AGGGAAUACCCGGCCUGAAGGAGGAGUUUAACGUGGAGAACUGUGAUUUUAUUCUGGUUUUCUGUCCUGUUGUUUCUCGAGCUGGAACCGACAUUCAAGCAGCUCUGAAAAAACUUCAGACCUUAUCAGGUACCAAACUUUGAUCAGUCUGAACAUUUAAGGUUAAAUAUGUAUGUUAAGGGUUGAAGAUUUAGUAUUGAAUGUGAAUGAAUCUUUGUUUUGCUACAGAAUCCAAGCAUACAGUUCUGGUGGUUCUCCAUCACACAUUUAAUCCGGAGUUAAUAGUGCCAGACAGCAGCAGGAGAGUAAACAGAGAGAAUACUCUCACUGUGGACUGUCUGUUUCAUGAGGAUAGAGGAUUACUGCAGUGCUACAGGAACCAGGAAGCUCUGGAUAAAGUUACUCAGUGGAUCAAACCUCCGGAGACUCUGGGAAUAAUUCAGCAGUGGAAUAAUCCAUUAAGUUCCAUUUGGAACAUGGUGCCAAAUAUAACAUCAUGCAACAGAAGUGCAGAUCCUAAACAGCAGGAAGACUCUUCACUGAAAUUAGCAAAGGCAGCUGCAGCAGCAGCAAAGAAAGCAGCUCAGCUAGAAGAUGUGAAUAAAGAGUUAACAGAGAACCUUCAGAAAAAAGACUCACUCCUGCAGGACCUACAUAAAACCCUGUCUUUAAUGCUGUACAACACAAAUCCAAAACACCUGGAAGAUGAACAACAUGCUAAUCUGUUAAAAAAUCUGGAAGACUGCCACCUUACAGAUCCCAUUAAAAAACAUGUCAAUGAAAUAGAACAGGAGCUGAAUGAAACAUUAGCACGGGUGAAGAUCACUGACGAAAAAACACCAACCAACAAUGAGACGCUCUCCAGCCCAUCACCACCCAACACGAGCGAAGAUACUCUAAUUUUUUCUGUUAAAGAAACUGAAGAAGGGUUUUUAUCUGUUGAAAUACUUUAUAAAGAGAGUGAAAACACUGAGAAGAUCGAUUUAACUGCUUCACCUGAUCACCCAGAACACACCUAACAGGCUUAUUGAACCUUCUGAGAUGUAAGAGGUAGAUAAAGAGUAAACAGUAGAAAGAAUCUGAACGCUUAUGAGCUAAUACUAUGAGUAGUACAAUCACAUAUACUUAUAGGGCUGUGUAUUGGCAAGAACUUGGUGAUACAGUACACAGUAUAAUAUAGAGGUUAUGAUUAAAAAAUACCGUAUUUUUCUCACUAUAAGGUGCACCGUAUGAUAAGGCAGUACUGUGAUAUUAUCUGAUAAUAAAUAAAUUAUUACUGUUUAUCUAAUCA
rnacentral:lncRNA from 1 species